AUCUGUAUGGGGUGCUAUGGGCAGAUAGAAAAGAUAAACAAAAGAUAUAACUGCUACUUUUGGGAAGCUUCCAAUCUGAUUGGGAAGUCAGGGUGACCAAAUGUGAAAGCAGCAUAAGGACAUAGAUGAAAACAGCGGUGAAGAUGAAGCUAGUUGGGCUCCUACUGCAUUAACUAGGUGUGAAGAAGUGAUUCCAGCACAUGUACUUUGUCAAACUUGUUGGCUGAUCAUUCAGCAUUAGAGUCCACGAGCUCCAUACUCAGCCCAGACUCUUCUGGAAAUGAUGAACAUCUUCAUUCCUGGGACUCCACCAAGCACAUGAUUGACAGCUCCACAAACCGGACAGCUGCUCUAUUCCCAGCGAGGGAAGGAAGACAGCUUCAGCUUUCCUGUGCUGCACUUUGGUUCCUUCAGCCGAAAGGCCUGGGCCAAGGAGCAGGUCUGUGCCAACAGCCCACUCCGAUAUCAUGGCAAUUGCCAAUAGCUCCUUGCAACUGUCAUCAACCAAACCGGUUAGGAAGUGAAAAAUUCAGCAACCAACCUGUUUUUUUCCCUCUGCCCCACUAUGAUAAGGCCCUAACAGCUAGGCUGGCUAUUUUUCACUAGGUGAACCAGUUGUUUGGAGAAUGUUUGGGUCCAGUUAAAAAGGUGGUGCCAUGGUUCUUGUUUGCCUAGAUUUCGUGUCUCAAGGAUGCUAGGACAGGAGUGAGGUCCAGGAAACAACUGAGGAAGAGAAAGGAGUGGGAAAGGAAGGGACAAGAGUGGGAAAGAAAGAGAAG